rnacentral:misc_RNA from 1 species
UUCCUCUCCGACCACCACCAGAAUGAGCGCCUCGAUUGAAGUUUGGAGAGACAUUAUUAUUGUUCUGUCCUGAUUUUGGUCCAUUCUCGGGCACCUGACCUCCCAAAUUCAUCGGUGGAGGAGUAAAUUGGCCUGGUAUGCUCAUUGGAGAAGGUGAUUGUCCUUGAUUGAAGUUUGGAGAGCCAUUAAUGUACCCAGGAACCACAGCAUUUGGUUGUGAAUUGUUGUUCUGUCCUAAUUGCGGUCCAUUCGCUGGUACCUGACCUCCCAAAUUCAUGGGUGCAGGAGUAAAUUGGCCUGGUAAGCCCAUCGGCAUACCUGGUUGAUUAAAAACAUUUUGUCCAAACGCAGGCCAAGGUCCAAAUGGUGGCCCUGCACCAAAAUUUGGUAGCCCACCUG